UACGAAGGGGGCUAGCGUUGCUCGGAAUUACUGGCGUAAAGCGCGCGUAGGCGGAUCUGCAAGUCGGGGGUGAAAUCCCGAGGCUCAACCUCGGAACUGCCUCGAUACUGCGGUCUCGAGUCCGGGAGAGGUGAGUGGAAUUCCUAGUGUAGAGGUGAAAUUCGUAGAUAUUAGGAAGAACACCGAGUGGCGAAGGCGGCUCACUGGCCCGGUAC
rnacentral:rRNA from 1 species